GCCGCUGUAGCUCAGCGGAUAGAGCAGGAUUUUGACUAAGUCCCGGUCGUACGUUCAAAUCGUACCAGUGGCA
rnacentral:tRNA from 1 species